UGACCAUCCGAUGAGAAUGGUCUUCUUUUGUUUCUAUUUGCUACUUUUAAUAGUGAACACGGUUUCAACAAAUCCACCAGCUUUUACUAAAUCGCCGAAUGAAAAGCAACGAGCAUUUUCUAAAGGACACCCACUCAAGAUUGGAAUUAUUAACAUUCCUCCGUACGUAUUGGUGCAAUACGAUGCUGGAGGCAAUAUCAGUUACGUCGAAGGUUUCGUUCCUGAAAUUAUUUCGUGGAUGGCAGAAAAAUACGAUUUUAC